UCUGGAGUACCCUGGAGAUGGAUAAGAAGACCCCCGACCCCACAGACAAACCCUAAUCGUCACUUAUCCUCUCGCGCUCUCUCUCUUUCUUUUGUUCGUCGCCCGAAGCUCAUGGUCGUCGUUGCCGCGUCGAUCCCGCGGCCACCGGCAUCCCCGUCACCUCAGAGCAUGCCCUGGAGCUUCAGCGCCUCCGACUCCACCGACUACGUGCAUCGGUUUGAGCUCGGACGCCCUGCUGCCUCGCCAUCGCGUUGUCUUCUCCGCCCCCGUCGUCGCAUCUCGUCGUCGAGCCCGUCGCGUCCGGCCACCCCCGUGCUCCCCGACCUCGCCAUCGGACUUGCGUGAGCAUCCCCUCCAAUUCCCCCUUGUUCCUCGUCUUGAUUUGUCACCGUAGAUGCCCCCGCGCGUCGCUGUUCGCCAUGGCCGGAGCCCCACUUCCGCGCAUGCUCGCCCGCUCCUGUCGCGUGUCCGCCGCGAGCCGGCCCUGUUCCGGCACGCCCGCGCCUCGCCGGCCGCGUGCUGGCUUGCCCGACCGCGCGUCCACGCGUGCCGCGUGCAGCCGCACGCGGCCCUGCCGCUUCUCUGCUGCUCCUUGUACUGCUGCUGCUUUGCUGUUUUGCGCUGCUGCCUCCUUGCUGUUGCCGGCGUGCUGCCUACCUGCUGCUUUGCUGCUCCUUCUGCCUGCUCCUACCCCGCCGUUGUUGCUCGCGUCGUAGCCGCCGAGCCCACGUGCAUCUCUGGGUGCUCCUGUACGCUCCCGUGCCAUGGCCAUGGCUUAACUGUGCUAUGUGCACGGCCGUGUGUGAGGCCGGUUGGCUCUCUGUACAUGCGGCCAACCCACUUAAGUAGGGCCUAAUUAAAAGAUAGUUAGUGGUACUUAGUGAUAAGUUAGCUUGUAGUCCAUGGCAAGCGGGGCCCCCUAUUAAAUUAGUUAGAUAAUUUAUUGACACAUGUGGCAAUGACAUGUGGGCCCCUUAGACCAUGUUGACCAGUCAUCAUUGACUGGUCAACUGUUGACUGUACCAGAUGACUCAGCCCCUGGACCCCACGAGUCAGCCUCUCUGUUGCAAUGUUGUGUGCACUUCUCUGAGUACACUUAGUAUAUUAUGUUUUAAUUUCGAAUUAAUAAUAAAUCAGGAAUUCCAGAAAAACUUUAAAACUUUGAAAAUUCAUAGAAAUUAAACCGUAGUUCGGAUGAAAAAACUUUGUACGUGAAAGUUGCUCAGAACGAUGAGACGAAUUUGAAUACGCAGCCCGUUCGUCCGCCACACGUCCCUAGCAUAGUGAACACACAACUUUCCUUCUCCGGUUCACCUGUCCGAAAACGCGAAACACCGGGGAUACUUUCCCGGAUGUUUCCCCCCUUCGUCGGUAUCACCUACUACUACGUUAGGUCACCUCUAGCACCGCGCAAUGCCAUCUUAUGCUUUGUGAUGCUUUGAUUGCUCUGUUAUUUAUUGUGUUCCCCCUCCAUUACUUCUUUCCGGUAGACCCCGAGACUGCCGGCGACCCCCAGUUCGACUACGGUGUUGACGACCCUUCCUUCUUGCCAGAGCAACCAGGCAAGCCCCCCCUUGAUCACCAGAUAUCGCCUAUUCUUCUCUAUACUGCUUGCAUUAGAGUAGUGUAGCAUGUUACUGCUUUUGGUUAAUCCUAUUCUGCUGCAUAGCCUGUCAUUAUUGCUACAGUUGUUACCCUUACCUGCUAUCCUACUGCUUAGUAUAGGAUGCUAGUGUUCCAUCAGUGGCCCUACACUCUUAUCCGUCUGCCAUGCUAUACUGCUGGGCCGUGAUCACUUCGGGAGGUGAUCACGGGUAUAUACUAUAUACUUUAUAUACAUGACACAUGUGGUGACUAAAUUCGGGUCAGCUCGUUGAGUACCCGCAAGUGAUUCUGAUGAGGGGGCUGAAAGGACAGGUGGCUCCAUCCCGGUAGAGGUGGGCUUGGGUUCCUGACGGCCCCCGACUGUUACUUUGUGGCGGAGCGACAGGGCAGGUUGAGACCACCUAGGAGAGAGGUGGGUCUGGCCCUGGUCGGCGUCCGCGGUUACUUCAAAAUAACACGCUUAACGAGUUCUUGGUAUUUGAUCUGAGUCUGGCCAUUUGGUCUAUACGCACUAACCAACUACGCGGGAACAGUUAUGGGCACUCGGCGUCGUGGUAUCAGCCGAAGCCUUCGUGACGUCAGCGACUAAGCGGCGCGCGCCGGAUUGGACUGGAACGCCUGCUAGGCUAGGUCUGCUUCUGGCCGCCCUCGCAACGUGCAGGUGUGCAAUGGGCCCAGACCCCUGCGCCAUAGGAUUUAGACCGACGUGCUGACCUCUCUGUUGUGCCUAGGUGGGGCUGCGACGUGUUGAUCUUCUAAGGCCGGGCAUGACCCAGGAAAGUGUGUCCGGCCAAAUGGGAUCAAGCGUGUUGGGUUAUGUGGUGCACCCCUGCAGGGAAGUUUAUCUAUUCGAAUAGCCGUGUCCCUCGGUAAAAGGACGACCCGGAGUUGUACCUUGACCUUAUGACAACUAGAACCAGAUACUUAAUAAAACACACCCUUCCAAGUGCCAGAUAUAACCCGGUGAUCGCUCUCUAACAGGGCGACGAGGAGGGGACCACCGGGUAGGAUUAUGCUAUGCGAUGCUACUUGGUGAACUUACCAUCUACUCUCUUCUACAUGCUGCAAGAUGGAGGUGGCCAGAAGCGUAGUCUUCGAUAGGAUUAGCUAUCCCCUCUUAUUCUGGCAUUCUGCAGUUCAGUCCACCGAUAUGGCCCUUUACACAUAUACCCAUGCAUAUGUAGUGUAGCUCCUUGCUUGCGAGUACUUUGGAUGAGUACUCACGGUUGCUUUUCUCCCUCUUUUCCCCUUUCCUUCUACCUGGUUGUUGAAACCAGAUGCUGGAGUCCAGGAGCUAGAGAUCCCGAGGAUGAUUCUACGUGGAGUUCGGCUUCGAGGAGUAGUUAGGAGGUCCCAGGCAGGAGGCCUUGCCUUUUCGAUCGUUGCUACUUUUGUGCUAGCCUUCUUAAGGCAAUCUUGUUGAACUUAUGUCUGUACUCAGAUAUUAUUGCUUCCGCUGACUCUUGUGUUUUCGAGCUUAUGUAUUCGAGCCUUCAAGGCCCCUGGCUUGUAAUAUAAAGCUUGUUUUAUUUUAAUUUGUGUCUAGAGUUGUGUUGUGAUAUCUUCCCGUGAGUCCUCGAUCUUGAUCGUACACAUUUGUGUGUAUGAUUAGUGUACGAUUGAAUCGGGGGCGUCACAUGUGGGAAAUAAGAAGAGAGCAUGAGUUCAAGGACAUGUCUCCCGAUUAUAGUACAAACUCUAGG
rnacentral:lncRNA from 1 species